rnacentral:rRNA from 1 species
UACGUAGGGACCGAGCGUUGUCCGGAUUCAUUGGGCGUAAAGAGCUCGUAGGCGGCUGUUCAAGUCGAACGUGAAAACUCGGAGCUCAACUCCGAGCCUGCGUUCGAUACUGGACGGCUAGAGUCUGGUAGGGGGAUCUGGAAUUCCUGGUGUAGCGGUGAAAUGCGUAGAUAUCGUAAGGAAGACCAGUGGCGAAGGCGGGUCUCUGGACAGUUCCUGACGCUGAGGCACGAAGGUCAGGGGAGCAAACGGG